rnacentral:rRNA from 1 species
GUGCCAGCCGCUGCGGUAAUACGUAGGUGGCAAGCGUUGUCCGGAUUUAUUGGGCGUAAAGCGAGCGCAGGCGGUUUCUUUAAGUCUGAUGUGAAAGCCCCCGGCUCAACCGGGGAGGGUCAUUGGAAACUGGGGAACUUGAGUGCAGAAGAGGAGAGUGGAAUUCCAUGUGUAGCGGUGAAAUGCGUAGAUAUAUGGAGGAACACCAGUGGCGAAGGCGGCUCUCUGGUCUGUAACUGACGCU